GUAAAUACAGUUUCACAUGUGAUACUGGAAAAGAUUGUAACACUUUAUUUUUUUUCUACCUCAACCAAGCUCAGAGACAGAUGUCAUUGGAGAUCGCUGGAGCAGAUCGGCAAGAAAGGAUCCUGAAAUUUUUGUCACUGUUUGAUGAAGGACAAAAAAGUGCCAUUCCCACAGCAGAUCCUAAAGUCAGUGGAAUCAGAGCUUACGCCAAGACACAUGGAAAGAAAGUUGAAACGGUGAGAACAGGCAGCUCUGUGUCUUCCCUUAUUUGUUACUCUAGUCGUUCUCUAAUACCUAUAUUGCUCUCAUCAUUAUUCAGUAAAGUAAGCAAAGCUGUGUUUUGUGUCUCCUGGAUGUCUGGUGUUCUUAGUUUCUAGAGGCUGACAUGAGGCUCACUGACAUUGUCCUACAUUUGUACUGGUUUUGGACAGGAAAGUGUAAAUGAAGGUCCAUCUGAUACUCCUGAACUGAGCAAGGACCUCCUGGAAAUAAGUCCUUUACAUGGGAAGAACUUCUGGAAGCCUUCACUGCCAACCUCCUGGAAAAUUAAGAGAGGUGAGACUUAAAGAGUGAUGCUGUACCUUGUCUAGCUAGUUACUGGGUCUCUUUGGACCAUGGCUAGUGUUGUAGA
rnacentral:lncRNA from 1 species